rnacentral:rRNA from 1 species
GACGAAGGUGGCAAGCGUUGUUCGGAGUCACUGGGCUUAAAGCGCGCGUAGGCGGCUUGGUAAGCGGAAGUUGAAAUCCCUCGGCUCAACCGAGGAACUGGCUUUCGAACUGCCUUGCUUGAGUACAGAAGGGGAGAGUGGAAUUCCUGGUGGAGCGGUGAAAUGCGUAGAUAUCAGGAGGAACGCCAGUGGCGAAAGCGGCUCUCUGGUCUGUUACUGACGCUGAGGUGCGAAAGCUGGGGGAGCAAACAGGAUUAGAUACCCGCGUA